GUCAGAAUGGCCGAGCGGUCUAAGGCGCCAGAUUUAAGCUCUGGUCCACUAUGUGGGCGUGGGUUCGAACCCCACUUCUGACA